rnacentral:sRNA from 1 species
UCAAAGAUUCGAACCUGCAGCAGGUUCGAGUUGAGCGCAGCGAAACAACGGAGCAGCUCGCGGCGACGGCCCGAAGGGCGAGCGAAGCGAGUCAUCCUGCACGACCCACCA